CAGCAGCCGCGGGAAUACGUAGGGUGCAAGCGUUAAUCGGAAUUACUGGGCGUAAAGCGUGCGCAGGCGGUUAUAUAAGACAGAUGUGAAAUCCCCGGGCUCAACCUGGGAACUGCAUUUGUGACUGUAUAGCUAGAGUACGGCAGAGGGGGAUGGAAUUCCGCGUGUAGCAGUGAAAUGCGUAGAUAUGCGGAGGAACACCGAUGGCGAAGGCAAUCCCCUGGGCCUGUACUGACGCUUAUGCACGAAAGCGUGGGGAGCAAACAGGAUUAGAUACCCCUGUAGUCCCUGUCUCUUAUAC
rnacentral:rRNA from 1 species